GGCUCGGUAGCGCGUGGAGCGCAUCUGCUUCUGAUUGUGGUCGUUGACACAGAUUAUGGCAGACCUCGCCCGUUCGACUCGGGCCCGAGCCA